CCCAGUUCUAUGCCUGGUGAGAGUGUGACUGAGAAACAACUACAGCACCAGUCCAGGCACAUUCAUCAGAGCAGUGUUUUCCAAAGCUCAAGUCUGAAACCAUUAGUGGUUCAUGUCAUCAAUUUAGUGAGUAGGGCUGGCAAUUUUUUUAAUGGAAUGGAAGAGAUAAUAAUGUAAUAGAUUCUAUACAAUAUGGACUAGAAUAGAAGAAAUUGCAUUUCACAUAGAAUGGAGUCUCCUUCUGUUGCCCAGGCUGGAGUGCAGUGGCAUGAUCUUGGCUCACUGCAACCUCUGCCUCCCGGGUUCAAGCAAUUCUCCUGCCUCAGCCUCCGAAGUAGCUGGGACUACAGGCGUGGGCCACCACACCCGGAUAAUUUUUGUCUUUUUAGUAGAGAUGCGGUUUCACCAGGUUGGCCAGGCUGAUCUCAAACCCCUGACCUCAAGUAAUCCACCCACCUCGGCCUCCCAAAGUGCCAGGAUUACAGGCAGGGGCCACCAUGCCCAGCCAUGUAAUCUUCCUUAAAGGACAUCAGUG
rnacentral:lncRNA from 1 species